rnacentral:rRNA from 1 species
CCUACGGGCGGCAGCAGUAGGGAAUCUUCGGCAAUGGGGGGAACCCUGACCGAGCAACGCCGCGUGAGUGAAGAAGGUUUUCGGAUCGUAAAGCUCUGUUGUUAAGGAAGAACGAGUGUGAGAAUGGAAAGUUCAUACUGUGACGGUACUUAACCAGAAAGGGACGGCUAACUACGUGCCAGCAGCCGCGGUAAUACGUAGGUCCCGAGCGUUGUCCGGAUUUAUUGGGCGUAAAGCGAGCGCAGGCGGUUAGAUAAGUCUGAAGUUAAAGGCUGUGGCUUAACCAUAGUACGCUUUGGAAACUGUUUAACUUGAGUGCAAGAGGGGAGAGUGGAAUUCCAUGUGUAGCGGUGAAAUGCGUAGAUAUAUGGAGGAACACCGGUGGCGAAAGCGGCUCUCUGGCUUGUAACUGACGCUGAGGCUCGAAAGCGUGGGGAGCAAACAGGAUUAGAUACCCUAGUAGUC